rnacentral:lncRNA from 1 species
CUGGAACCUCUGGGGCAACCCAAGGAGAUAAUUUUCAAGUGGCCAGGCCUGAGAAAUCAGAUGACUAAGAAAGGGAUCUAAGGAGACAAGCCAUCAACUUAGAGAUUUGCAAGUGCUCACAAGCAGAAAACAGAGGCUCCAUAACCACAAUCAGGGCAGAUGAAAGCAGAAAGCUGUAGGAUAAUUGGAGUCAGAUAUGGAGCAGACAGAGGCAGGCUGGCCCGAGUGGGUAGUGUGGAGGGUUCGGGGCAAACUUUACAGAGCCCAGAUUCCAGCCCCGAUGUCUCUGUGUGAAAUUCCAGAACACUUUCACUGGCUCAAGCCAGGGUCCUAAAGAGCAGCUUCUCUGGGCAAGAAAGACCCCAUCAAUCACUCCUGGGAAAAUAGCCUUCAAUUUACAGCACUGAUGAAGUACCAGUGCAUGCUGGGAGCUGUGCCAGGCACUGGGGUACAGCAGGAAUGAGAUGCCCUAUCCCUGUUCUCACAGAGGAAUUAGAGGCAGUGCACUAGUGAUUAUAGGUGCACUGAGCAUUGCAAGGAUGUCCACUUAAGCAAGAAAAAGUACACAUUUCAUCACGGCUUCACUCAGUUCUUUAAUGAAGAGAAUCGAAAAAUAGAUGUCAGAUAUAGAACCUAUCAAACCCUAGUCUCAUGAGAAGUUUUUAUAGAGGUUAUUUUAAGGAGUGACUUCCUGGUGGUUAUCUACCCUAAACAUCCCCAAAGGUGCUCAAUAAUGCAUGUCAAUUUUAUCAUCCAUGAACAUCUGAAUCCUUCAUGAACUUUACCUAUUUACCAUUUGAUUCUAGUCUACCAUCACUAGGUUAAAUAACACAUCUAGUCACUCGGGCUUUAUCUUUCUUUGUGGGAUAAUCCUUAUCUCUUCAAAAGAUCUUCCCCCAGAAGUUGCUCCCUCCCCUCCACCACUUCAUUCUCCUCCCCUGGAUCUUUUCCAGCCCCAUUAGGUCACUCUUGAGAAGGCAGAUAAGAACUGGUAGAAAACCCAGUUUUGUUGCCAAUACCCUAUUGCCAGAAUCAGCCCACAAACUCCCCUGGCCAAGAGCAGCCCCUCCCCUGCUUGCCCCUGCAGGCCCAGGAAGGCCACGGCCCAGUGCCUGCCCCACAAGAAGAAACCCUCAUUCACUGCACCUCACCUGUGCUCAGGGGUCUUACCUGGGGCAUGUGAAGCUCCAGGAAAGAGUCGCUUCCUCCAGCAGCCUUGGGCCCAUUUGACCCACUCCCAGGAGGCUGACCCUCCCAAUGCCUCUUCUGGUCCCCAACUUCCCAAGGAAGGGAAAAGAGGUCAAGACCAUGUCUAUCUAGCUGCUGAGGCUCUGAAGAGGGACAUCUUAGUGCAAACCCCAGUUUCUACCUGGAAUUAAGCUGUGCCCACAACAAUGCUCCAAAAAAGUUUAGCAAGUUGGUAGGAAUUCUGCUGUCUGCUCAUUUCCUAGCUCCCUGUCUGAUUUUUGCUUUCUGGCUCAUAUGCUUCUUAAGAUUUAAUUUUAAGCCAACUUGGCAACAAAUAAUCCCACCCCUUCCAAUUUAGAGACCCGGAUAUGACCUAUUUCCUACUAAUGUCAGUGUUGUUCCCAAAGAGACUUAGUGUGCACACAAGUACUAGAGUCCCCUUUUAUUCAAGGGUAGAUCAAGGCUUUGACAGUGCAAAGAGGACCCAUAGGUGCUUAACCCUAAAGUUUCUGGGGUGGGGAGGCUUUUUGAGUUUUAUUUCCUUGGAGAAGCCUUGAAGUCCCACAUUAGCUGAUUCUACCAACAUUUUGGUGACUUCCUAUGUAAAACUGUUUAAUGGUUUGGGGUUAGUAGAUACCAACAAUUACAUUUAGAAUGGAUAAGCAAUGAAGUCCUACUGUAUAACACAGGGAACUAUGUCAAUCUCUUAGGAGAGAACAUGAUGGAAGAUAAUAUGAGAAAAAGAAUGUGUAUAUAUAUGUAUGACUGGGCCACUUUGCUGUACAGCAGAAAUUGAUACAACAUUGUAAACCAACUAUAAUUUUUAAAAAUGUUUAAUGGGAGCAAAGUACUUUAUAACUUGCUUUUUUACUUACCAAUAAAUUAUCAAUGUUUCCCCAUAUAUCCAUUAUUCUUACACAUCAUUUUUAUGACUGCCGACUAUACCAUUGUAUAGCUAGAUCUUACUUUAGUUAACCAAUUCACCUUUGAUGGAGGUGAAGAUGGGUUUUUUCCCCUUUCAGUCACAAACUAGACUGUAAUGAUAAAUCAAAGCAAAUGUCCAUGAUUAUGUCCAUAGAAUCAAUUCUUCGCAGAAAAAAUGCUAAGUCAAACUCAUUUGAGACUUAGGAUGUGUAUUGCCUAAUUAAUUACCAUCCAGAAAUGUAAUGAUUACCCUCUCAAGUUGCCUAUUUUUCUCCCCAGUAUUGAAUACCUUACUUUUUAAAAAUCUUUUCCAAUUUGAAUAGGGGCAAAAUGAUAUCUCAUUACUUUAUGCAGAAGGCUUUUUGAGUGUCUGCAUAAAUUUUGUUCACUGGUUUGCUUAUGUUCAUUCACAGAUUUACCACCUCAAAAACACGUUUCUCCAACAUUCUAUACUUUUUUGUUUAGUAUCUAUUCCAUGCAAAGCUCUACAUUAAAUGCUAUUUCACAGUGGAUUAUAUUUAUUUUAUGCUUACUGACCCUGUACUUUUCCUGUGAUCCUAGCAUAUUGCCAAGAAUGACGGUGAACAUAACCUAUUAGCCCAUAAAUCCCAUGAUAACCUCUGGAACUUCCUCAUAAAUAUGUAUAUCAUUGAUCUACCAGCUAUUUGGUAAACUUUAGAAAGGUUAAGACAUAUUUGACUCCACGGUUUUACCUCCAAAAACACCAGGGUGGAUGCCAUAUGCUCGAAUAGUUUAUUUACAUCUGAAUUAUCAUUUUGUUCUACAACGUUUUGUGCCUAUACCAUCACUUGACAUACACCAUCUGGCUGGGAAUCUAUGAAAAUAAUUUAAGUGUCCAGCAUCUUAUGUGCGAUGCCAUUGCUGAAGUGUCUCAGAGACACUAGGAAAAAAUCAUGUGUGAAAGAAAAGAUGCCACUAAAAGGAAAGGAAGUCAAAGCUAAGGUUAAAAAAAUGAUCAUAAUUUGGAAACUUCCAAAAACCAGUAUAUCUUCAUUUACUAAUCAGAAAUUAAUGGAUUUAAUUGAGUAAUAGGAAAGUCUCUUCAUUGUGUAGAACGUAUAUUAAUCAGAAUUAUCUUGGAAAAGUGGAGCUUCUGCCAUAUGGUUCAGCAGAGAUAAGUUAAUACAGGGAACCAGUCAUAAAAGUGUUGGAAAAAUUGAGAGGCUAAACAAAGGACAAUGAGAUAACCCAGAAAUCCACAACAGCAGGAAGUUGCAAUACCAUAUUAUCAAAACCCAGAAGUCAGAGCACCAAGGCAGAAACUGGAAACUCAAAACACCCACUAGGUGUUCCCAUCGUGGCUCAGUGGUUAAUGAAUCCGACUAGGGACCAUGAGGUCACGGGUUUGAUCCCUGGCCUCACUCCGUGGAUUGGGGGUCCAGCAUUGCCGUGAGCUGCGGUGUAGUCGCAGACAUGGCUCGGAUCCCGAGUUGCUGCGGCUCUGGCAUAGGCUGGCAGCUAUAGCUCCAAUUAGACCCCUAGCCUGGGAACCUCCAUAUGCCAUGGGUGCAGCUCUGGAAAAGACCAAACUAACAAACAACAAACAAAACACCCCCUGAUGUAAUACCCUGGCUUCACCUUUUCUUUUUUCUUCUAGUCUCCCUCCUGGGUUCUACAUCUGUGAAAAAUAGACAGAAACCAGUUGGCAAGGAAGCUUGGGAAAUACAAUCUAGAGGGGAAGGCUUGCUGGGAUUUAGAGCAGAGCAGAGGAAGCAAAUAAGGAAUCUCAGACCCAAUAAGCAAGUGGAUGGCACGGUGCACCAGCAAAGAACUAGAAUUCUGCAGUGAAGAGGCUACUUCUCUGCUUGUGGAAGAUUGCCCAGUGCCUCCGUCUCUCCAGAUAUUCACAUUUCUUGCCCUUAAAACUAGUCUCUCCCAUGAACAGAUCCCCACACCAGCCCCAGACCACUUGUACUUCCCACUCCUAAUCUCUGUGUGCACCUUGACCAAUGUCACUCACAUUUCAUCAUCUUUGUCCAUGGAGGUUGAUCUAGACUUUGACCAGCUUUGAACUCUAUGUGCCUCUUCAACAGCUCUGGACUUUGAGCCAAUAUCAAGACUGGUGACCUUUGCCCAAUCCCAUGGAUCUGUCUAUACUUCCCAAUUCCAGUUGUUCUUUCCCAAAAUCAGUUUGGGAAGCCAUAAAUAGAUGUUUAAGUCUAUUAAAGUCAUAAUGGUCGCUAAAGUCCUGACUAAAAAUGUCAUGUACAUCUAUCGGAUAUUGGGAAGAGCAAGGAGGGAGGGAGCUAAAUCUUCAUCUGAUGUGGGAGGUUAAUAUGUAACAUUUCAAGUUGAUAAAUCAGGAUGAUGGUAUAUGAGCAUAUAAAUUAGAGACCUGGAAAUAAGCACCAAAACUUAAAACAGAAACAAAUAUGAUGUUUUCUUUUGGGCUGUGGGGCUGCAGAGGAAGGGGUAAAACAAGGGUUCAUUGCUUUCCAUUAUAAAUACUUCCGUAUUUUUUUAUUUGUUUUAAACCAUUAUAGAUUCUAUACUCAGAUUUUGCACUUACUGUUCCCUCUACCUGGAAUACUCUUCCUCCAAAUCUACAUGGUUGUUUCCCUCAUUUCCUCUGGGCUUUCCCUGAGCCCCCUAUUUAAAAUAGUGGCACCCAUCUCCCCAUUCUGUGCUUUAUUUCUCUUCAGAUACCACUUAUCACUAUUGAACAUUCUAUAUAAUUUUCUCAUUCAUUUUUUUCCUUUUCUGUCUGCCUCAAUUACAAUAUAAAUCUUCAUAAAAGCCAGAGUCUUGUUUUGCUCACUGGUAAAUACCAGCACCUAGAACAGUGGCUGGUAGUGUUCAAUGACUGUAUGAAAAAAUUGUGUGUGUGUGAUUAUG